rnacentral:rRNA from 1 species
UACGGAGGAUCCGAGCGUUAUCCGGAUUUAUUGGGUUUAAAGGGUGCGUAGGCGGCCUAUUAAGUCAGGGGUGAAAGACGGUAGCUUAACUAUCGCAGUGCCUUUGAUACUGAUGGGCUUGAAUAUACUAGAGGUAGGCGGAAUGUGACAAGUAGCGGUGAAAUGCAUAGAUAUGUCACAGAACACCAAUUGCGAAGGCAGCUUACUAUGGUAUGAUUGACGCUGAGGCACGAAAGCGUGGGGAUCAAACAGG